CAUGCCACAAAUAGCCAGAGCAUAAUCGUCUUGGCACCAACCUGAUUGUUGACAGUUAAAAGUUUGAAAAACGGAGAAUCACUCUUGCCAACAAGUGCUACUUUGGACUGAGUAGGCAAUUGAGGAGUAAAGUCCUCUCAUCGUGCAAAAAUCACAAGCGGACGCAUGAAAAAUUAAAACAUCUGAUGAGGCGGGUCUUGGAUUUUUCGAGAAAAAUAUUCUGUGAAAGAUUUAUGGGCCUUUACACAUUGGCGGCGGCAAGUACCUCAAACGAUGGAACGUGAGGUGUAUGAGCUUUAAAACGACAUGGACAUGGUGCAGCGAACCAAAAUACAACGGCUACGCUGACUUGGUUAUAUCGAGCGAAUGGACAGAAACGCUCCAGCUCUCAAAGUAUUCAACGCAGGUCUCGAUGGUGGUAAGAGAGAAAGAGGAAAGCCCAAACUGCGAUGGAUGGACCAAGCAGAGAAGGACUUCUCUUCGAAUGGUGGUAUCUGGCAACACCAUUUUCCCAAAUUUUUCUUACAAACU